GGGACCCCCGGUCUGCUGGAGUGUGUCCCCCAUCCCACAGGGCACCCAGGGCUCAGGGCUGCCAUCCCUCCCCGAUGGGUCUCGGAGGGAUGGGUCAGCUCCCAGGAGGUCCCUGUGGGGACACAUCUGUCCCCGCACAGAUGUCCCCAUGCCCAGCCACGUCUGUUCGUGGGAGCUGUUUCUGCCCCGUAGCGCUGCCCAAAGCGGGGGGCGGCAGUUGCGCAGCCGGGGUGGGAGUGGGGAAGGUGCCGUGGGGCUGCGAGCGGGACCCCCCAGGCUCCUCUCCCCCAUCCACUCUCCUGCCAGGGUGCUGAGCAGGGUCCCGCACUGCCGCAGGUCCCGGUGGGGGGUUUGUGGCCAGUGUCUUUUCCCUCAAGCACCACCCAGCACCGGUUCCCCUGUCCCUGGGUAAGUGUAAGAGUCUGUUGGUGCAUUGUAAGUCACAGAGCACCAUGUCAUCAGUGUUUUCUCAUAGUUUAAUAAAUCCCUUUGGCAGGGGCUUGCUCUGCUGCUCUUCUGCCAGUGCAGGACCGGCUGCUUAGCCCAGCUUUACCCAGUCCUUGCCCCGGCAUUGCCCAGGGAGCCCUGAAUGUGUCCAUUCCUGAGGGCUGGAUGGACUAGAUGCAAUUGGACUAGAUGAUUGUUGUAGGUCCCUUCCAGCUGAAAUUCUAUUCUUCUAUUCUAUUCUAUUCUAUUCUAUUUUAUUCUAUUCUGCCUCUGCCCCACGCUCCUGCGCUGCUGCUCGGGGUCACAUCACCCAGCCCUGCUCCCGUCCUCCUCCUCACUGCCCUGCACAGUCCAGGGCUGAUGGCAGAGGCUGGGCAGGCAGAGCCGGGGAGGGGGGACAGAAAAUAAACAAGUCUGUGCUGCAAUUUGCAACCACCUGCUAUUUUUGGUACCAGCUCUUUGUCACUUGUGAAGUGGCUUCUUGGGGCUGCUGGUGCAGAGAGCUGAGAAUGGCCGAGUCGAGCCGGUCUGGCAGGGGGUUUAUCAAAAUUUUGUAGUGAAUCAAAAUCAAUCUGGAGGGGCCGUCCUGCGGUCGAGGUGUCUGUCCUACCAGGGCCUCUGGUGCCAGCACAGGACGCUGAACCUCCCUCCAGCUGGACAAUGCUUGGAAAACCUAAGUAUUUUAGAAAUAGUGGAGAUGAGCAGAACGUCGGGAGAGGCCAGUGAAAUGCCUCCAGCCAUUUGGGCAGCACCUUGCAGCCCGAGCCAGGGCAGGCAGGCGUUUGCUGCCUUCGAGGAGGAAGAGGAAGAGGAGGAAGAGGAGGAAGUGUGCCUGGUGUUGGAGGGCAUGCCGGCUCCUGUGGCUCCUGCCCCCAGGCGAGGCUAACGGUGGCCGACGGCGCGCGAGGCCACCCUGCCCUUGCCCGUCACCGUUCCCAAGGACGCUUUUGGGGCUGGAGCCUGCUCUGUCCCCACCGCCCUGCGGCGCUCACGCCCGGGGGGGUGGCACCUGCACCGGGGGGGGUGG